rnacentral:rRNA from 1 species
UACAGAGGUCUCGAGCGUUAGGCGGAAUCACUGGGCUUAAAGCGUGUGUAGGCGGGUCGUUAAGUGCCUUGUGAAAUCCCAUGGCUCAACCAUGGAACUGCUGGGCAUACUGGCGAUCUUGUGCCACCUAGGGGCGAGCGGAACAGAUGGUGGAGCGGUGAAAUGCGUAGAUAUCAAGAGGAACACCUGCGGCGAAGGCGGGUUGCUGGGCCGACACUGACGCUGAGGCGCGAAAGCUAGGGGAGCGAACGGG